rnacentral:rRNA from 1 species
AUUGAACGCUGGCGGCAGGCCUAACACAUGCAAGUCGAACGAGUGGCGGACGGGUGAGUCAUGUCUGGGAAACUGCCUGAUGGAGGGGGAUCACUACUGGAAACGGUAGCUAAUACCGCAUCCCAUCGGAUGUGCCCAGAUGGGAUUAGCUAGUAGGUGGGGUAACGGCUCACCUAGGCGACGAUCCCUAGCUGGUCUGAGAGGAUGACCAGCCACACGGGAACUGAUACACUGUCCAGACUCCUACGGGAGGCAGCAGUUGGGAAUAUUGCACAAUGGGCGCAAGCCUGAUGCAGCCAUGCCGCGUGUAUGAAGAAGGCCUUCGGGUUGUAAAGUACUUUCAGCGUGGAGGCGUUACCCGCAGAAGAAGCACCGGCUAACUCCGUGCCAGCCGCCGCGGUAAUUC